rnacentral:lncRNA from 1 species
UAAAUUGUCCCAUGUUUCUUAAGGAUGUUACUAUUAACUUUUACUAAUAUAUUUUCUUUUCUUUACCUUUCUAGGGUAAAUUCUUUCUUUAAAAGACACUAAAGAAUAUUAAAUGGGGAAAAGUUAAUAAAAUGGAAGCAUUUAAAAAAAUCUAUUUAAUAGUUUAAUAUCUCUACAUAAAGGAUAGCAGGACCCUUAAUCCCUGCAGAGUGCAGAACAAGUGAAAAAUCAUGUGUAAAAAAGAAAUUCACAUAACUCAAUGGGAUUUAGAAACUAGAAAAGGGGGCAGGAGUACAAAGCCUUCAAUUAUUUUUAUCACACACCCAUAGUACUAGUACCCCAAUUCCAGGACCCAGAACAAAGGAGGAACUUCAGCUACACUCAUAUGUGAUAUUGUAUAGCUAACAUUUUGAAAGUUCAUCAAUUUCGCCAGCA